AUCCAUAAAUUUUCACCAGCUUGGCUCACCACAAAAACCUGAAAAGCAAGACAGACUCACGCCAUGGAGAAGUGUUAAAGAGCAACCUUUAAGUUUCUCAGGCAGCUGACUGUCAAAAAACCCGAGCUUUCUUUAGAAGCAACCAGAAAGACUGUGUGUAGAGAAACAGAGCAUAGCCUAUAAGAAAAAUAACACCUAUCUUUCAUGCAUUGCAUCUAAUACUGGUUUAUACCCUAAAGAGCUACAAAUGAAGUUGUUGAUUAUACACCAGUAUAGCAAUACCGGUGUGGUCUGAACUGGUCAUCAUAAUUGCAUGUGUCUCAUUUCCAAGUGUGGGUUCACUAACUAGACAGAACGAUCCCAACUUGUCCAGACCAUUCCAAUCACACUUUAAAGCACCAUGCCUGUGGGACAGCUCUGCUCUGUCGGGACUUCUCAAAUUAGAGCUUUGCAAAUGGGGCUCCUUGCUAUUCUCCAAAGGGCUGCUUCUGUAAGGUACUACCUGUGUGUGCGUGCGAGGUCACAGCAACAGCUUCUUGUUCCUUUUGAGCAAAGUUUGUUCCUGUGAGCAAGCUUGCUUGGGAACUCCCACAGCCAUUAAAGCCUGCCAGCAACCCAAGCAGCCAGCCAGUUCUUCAAAGGAAUCUCCCAGCCUUGGCAUUACUUGUAUCCUUUGUCCAGGGACAGAACAUUUGUUUCUUGAAACUGGAGCAACCAGUGUUAACUGGGCAGCCAAACCAGGUCACGCUGCCUGGACUCCUUCCUGGCACCUCUGCCACCCGCCUCCACGCCAAGGCUCAUCUGCUCCCUGCAGGAGGCUUUCCAAAAACAAACUCCUUCCUGGACUCUCCCCAAAAAGCUACUUAAUCCUAAGCUUUCCUUGACCACUGGGACGCUAAUAAGGCAGCAGAAAUGAGACUCAGGCCACCUUUGUUAAGGGGAGGCAACAUCUCCUGCCACUUGACACCAAUGUGUAGGUUUAACACUGUCCUGUGUUACCUGCCAUGGUUUUCACUAUUUCACAGAUAUUCACAUGAGUAUUUUAUUUGUGGGUUUUGGUUAAUUUGUAAAAUUUGAGGGGAAGUUAUUUUACUUUUUCCUUCCUCAGGCUCUGUGGAAGGUAUCUGUGCCAUUCUGCUUGUGUGAGCACCGACAAAUCCAUCCCCCAAGAGACAAGUAAUUAGUCACAGGGAGGUUUAAGUCUCAUUCCUAAGGAAGGAGGUAAUGUCAUGGUGGCAAAACCUGUCACCUUUGCCUGACCAACCUGAAGGGAGAAAGACCAUUGCCACACAGUCCAUUUGUGUGACAGGGGAAAGGACACUGACUUAUCUAGGGUGGAAAAGGUAAUAAUCUAAAAAUAUUCAAAGAGAAAUCAUCUCCAAGCAGCGCUAACAUUUUCACAGGCAGCUCUCUCUUCCAGUGCAUCAGAGUAUCAGCAACUAAGUGAUGGGCAGUUAUUUAAUGAGUUAAUCUCAUUAGGAUAUUUGAACUCUCAGAAGAGGCUCAACCCAUUAGCUACAUGAGAGCUUUGAAACGAGCCUUUCAAAAGGACUAUAAGAAUAUAUUAAAAAGUGGUUAAUACACUGUGGGCUUUACCAGGGUUCCUCUCUGGACCAGGCUGGCUGGCAAGAAGAGGAGAACAAGGUCAUUACUGGUGAGGUUCUCAGCAGCUCCUGCAGCCACGUAGCUAAUGGGCCCCAGUCAACCCUACAGCCCAUCGAGCAGCAUCACUGACAGUUUGCCUUCCUGUUGUUUCUAAGGUUAACUUUGCUGUGCUGUGCAAUUCCACCUUGCUUCCCAAUUCCCAAUCCUAUAGCUUUACCUGAUCUAGCUAGUUAAACCUGGACUAGUCUUACCUUGUAUAUAAGAGAAACCAAACUUAUUAACAGUUUUAAUUUAAUGUUUCUUAACCUCAUAUUCUCCACAGUGAUGGUAUCCCCUCUAUUCCUUCCCUCUUUUUUAAAAAUUUGAAUUAAAUUAGCAUAAAUGCAGAUUGUGAUUAACUAAAUUAAGAAAAAUAGCAGAGUCUCACCUGGACCAACAUCAUGUCAUUCCUUUGAUUUCAGUGGAAUACCACAGCUUACACCUCUGGAAUUUACACUGUAUAACUGAUUCCUGCUCUUCAUAUUUACUUAUAUUAGCUUCACCAGAAUUAUUCACAUCAAUAGAAUGAACAGCAUUUGACCCUAUAACAUUAAAUGAAAGGCAUUAAUAGAAAAACCUAUAGAAUAUCUUCCAGCAAUAAUUAAAACUCAGGGCAGAAUAAUUUUUUCUGUCACCAUAAAUCACAAUGAAAUGUGGAUACCUAAUGUCCGAUUAUUCAGAUCUGCUCCAUUAAAGCAGUCAAGAAAUGCCCACCACUUAAUUGUUAAUGCUAAUUGCAUUUAGUCUGUGGGUUUAAAAGCAGUGAUAUGAAACCUUCAUAUUGUUUAGAGUAUUGUAAAAUGUAACUGUUAAGUAAUGCAUUUUCAAGAGUUUGGGGAACAUUAUUAAAGUUCAUUUCCAUGCCGCAGCUGCAGGAGUUGGAAUUAUGAAAGUGAAGAAGCUGUAAAAUUGAAAAGGUCAGGAAUGACAUUCAUCUAUUCCAGCUGUCAAAUCAAGGGAAUGUUAACAAAACUAGUCUGUGGUAGAAAAGCUAAUUGUCUACUUGUAUUUUGGCUGCCCCAAUACAUGUACUGUACUGUGGCUAAUCUAUAGGAAAGACCACACUGGAAUGGCACAUCAUUUUUUUAAAAGGCCUCUUAUAAACAAAUAAACCUUAUUUCCCUAAAUAAGCAAGCUCUAAUGAUUCUAUAAACCCAUUCAGUCUACAUGGCAGCCAAAUGUUUCCAGUCAGUGUUUAAAGAAACCAGUAUGUGAAUGAAGUUCAUAUACUCCUGGAAGCAGAGACAGUUUUCAGAGUGCUGGGAGUGCGGGGCAAAUGUUAAAUUACACUCUAGGGGUGUAUUCUUGCAAGCAGCAUUUCUGAAAUGUCUCAUACUAAGGCACGUUAACAUAUAACAACAUACAGAAAAAUUUCUGUCACGCACCACAUAUUUUGUAGACGACUCAGAUUUAACGAUCCCACAGUGUGAAGGACCUUCCCUUCAGCAGUCCAUCCCCUCAAGGGGUGACAGUGCAAACACCUACACACAGAUAUCAGUGCAGACUAACUCCAGGACCUUUGUUUUUGGACGACAGACCCCUGCCACGUGCAGGAAGAGCCUGUCAUGUGCAGAAGAGCCCUCAGCAAGGAACAGUGAGGGACCUGUGCUUUUUAUGAUGCACCAAAAUCUGCCUUACACAGAAAAUGACACUCCUCAGCAACCGAGGCCAGAGAGAGCGGCUCCAGCUCUGCAGCACGCCACACAUUCAAGGGAACCCAGUGCUUCAUCUACACAAUUCUAUUGCAAGCCCCUCCGGCUAUUUUCUAUUGCUCUUUGGUUUUGUGUUUUCACCUUAUAUGCUGCAGGUGUUACCAGAGGUCUCCACGUACAACUUGAAGAACCACACGUGGCUGACACCCAAGUGUGAAGGCUCUAUCCCCACAAUGCACAUCUAUGCCACCUCAAAUUUUGAUUUUUCCUGUGUUAUGUAAUACAGGUGUGACAGAAAUAAUCCAACUUGACCUACGACAGCCUAAUAUUUAGCUCAGUAUGUAGCUUUCUGGGUAAUGUUUUAAAAAUCUUUCUGUUAUUUGACUUUUUUCCUAUGGAAAAGUAUUGCAAAAGCUAGAAACAAUACUGAUAAUUCAUGAAAUAUUCAGGUGUACAGAUGCAAUCCUUUAAUAAAUGGAAGUGACCUUCAAAACAGACAUCCCAAAGAUUAAGAGAACUUCUCAAAAGAUGGCAUUUGUCACUAAUCAAUGACUUGAAGAACUUACACUCUUCCUAGAAAUGAAUACAAAAAAAGACCUUUCAGAAUUAUACCACUUUAAAAGCAAAUCAUUCACAAAACCCACAUAAAAGAACAUUAAUGAGUUAACGAAACAACAGAAAAAAAUAUCAAACAAGAAAAUUGAAAGAAUAAAUCCCCUCGUGCCUAUCAGUACCUAUGUCCAUGUCUGGAGUGCUGGAACGCCAUCCGCACAUCCCUGUGCUGUUCCCAGGGGCUGGACGAUGCUAUCAGCAUUAACUACAUCUCUUUGAUUGUGGUAUUGUACGUCAAAAUAUUUAUAAUGUUUUACAAAUGGAUUUCCUUUUUCAUAGUCACACAGAUAUCUUGGCUCUAACUGGGUCACUGUAUUGGAACAGAUGUAAUCUCAGCAGAAUACAGUGAGAAAUCUGGGCUACGUUAAUGACUGAUCCAAUUACAGCGGAAAUCUCUAGAAAACCCAGAUUUAUUAAGAACCAGGAGACAAUGACAAUGUAUUUCUAGGGACGACCAGAUGGACAAGCCAGUCUCAAACUCUUUAAGGGGGCUGGAGCUGAACAAGCAGUGCCUAUGCCAUUACCUACGUAGUUGGAGAAAUUCCCGUUCUGAGGAUAUGAUGAAAAAUCCGGAGACUCACCGCGGACGCCUGGGGGAACUGGAUCUAAACAUGUCCUAUGGCAGGAAGCAGCAUGGCUUACACACUGCUGUGAGGGCAGGGUGACGGAGGAAAAGGUGUCCAGGAGAGAAUGGCAGGGCAGGAAUCAAGAAACCCCAGGCAGCUUUUUGUCCAAGAAGAGUAUUUACACAAAAGAGCUCCUCCCGAUUUAAUAUCAGGUCCUUUUGAAAAGCUAUGUUUUCUCUCCUGAAUAGGAAAUAAAUGCCACCCAUCCAGGCUGCAGUCUGAUCCCAUGCGUAAGCAAACCCGGCAACCUACCACAGAUUUGCACCCAGAAAAAGAGAAUGAAAAAUACUUGAGAAAUCUGAAUUUAAACAGCUCCUUUUACCACUCCAAAAGCAGGUAAAAUUUCACAGCGUCCUCCGUGAUCUUGCAAACACGCUUCAUCAGAGGGACCUGCCCCUGUCUCCAGAAAACUGCAUCUAUGAGUAGUCCCAUUAAGGUAAUUUGGAUCUAAGAGGAUGUCUGAAGUUAAACACUUAGUUAAUUAGGAACUUUGCUGAAUCAAGGUCUUUUUUUCAGCUGAAUAUUUUACCUGAGAAGAUAUAUUAAAACAGUAGAAAAUAAUAUUUCUCAUUUAUAGAACUUCCUGCCAGCUCCAAGCUAGUAAAUAUUUACAUUUCAGCCACUCUGAUAGCUAAGGUGACCUUUCUGUUGUAAACUUUACACCUGUGCUGUAUUUUACUUUCAUUGUUAACAAUCUUUUCUGGUCCAUCUUACAUUAACAAGCAGUAUUUAAAUAUAUGCAAAUUUCAUAUUUUAGCUGAUGUUUUAGGAACAUUUUUAAGGUCACCCUGUUUGAUCUAUCACACAGACACAGCAAAUUUAUGCACCAUAUAUCCUAUCUCUACUUGUUUUUUACCUACAUCUGUCUUCUCUGAUUGCAUUUGAAUGGGCUUAUUUUCUAUUUUAAAUAAAAGAUUUAUGCCUUAGCUGUCAGUUUGCCUUUAUUUGAAAAUUUAAUUUUGUUUCUAGAAAUCUAGAUUAACUUAUUAGAUUUAACUGUCCCUUGUGCAUUGCAGCAAUAGCAGAAGUAUAUUUUCCCUCGUGGAUAGAGUACAUAAACAAAACGCUCUCGACAAAAAUAAAGAACGUUAUUACUCAGACCAAUACAAUGCAGUCAGUUCAGGAUACAAAAACUGGUGUUGUCAUUUUUAAUAAUGAUGGUGAGCAGUGGGAACUGACUAAUAAAUAUGACAACUCACAAAUCCAGGAGCCUCCAGAAACUGUGAAAUGCUUUGCAGAAAAGGCACGUUCCCCCACAAUGUCCCCUACACUUAGGUUAGCAAAUACCCUUUCAUGACACAGCACCACUGGGACACACAACUUGAUCCCUGAUACUCAUAGAUUUAUUUAAAUGAGGCAGAAAUGAGAAUCUGCCCCACUGUUUCCAGCUAGUCAGAGUCCUAUUUAUUGAUUCAGCGUGGUAUUUCACAUCUUCAGUGUGGCAUGUUCUUCAGCAGCUCUCAGCAGCGCUAUUUUCACAAUAUUGUUUCUCAAGACCCAGAAUUUCAGAGCUUUCCUAAAAGGAGAACUGACUCAUGGCAGUUGCUGCCUGUGGUCCUUGCAAUGCCCCAAACAGCUGAGUUCUCUGGGUGUUGGGUGGGGGGGUGGCAGGGCCAGGGUUGGGGAAGGUUAAUCUUUUCAAAUGUGUUCACAUGUUUUGACUCUUUUUCUCUAUUUUUCAUUUCUAGAAGUACCUGGGCUCCAGACUGGUUCUGUUAUUUUCUCUUCGCUUUGUGAUAGCCACAUCGACCUGAACAGAAUCUAUUUUUAAUCAACUCCUGCACCUCUUAUAAACUCUAAAAUCUUGCAACUCGUGAUUCUGCACUUUCAAUAAUAUGCACUGCUUUUGAAAGGAAUUAAAGCAUUCGUGUAUCAGUGAUGUUCCAUCAAGAGGCUGCAGUAUAAUAUGCCAAGAACAGAGAAAGCACAAAGCUGAAGGAUAGGGUGACACAUCUCAGGAAUCCACAUAUUUCAGCAAAGAGUUUUGUAAGGAAGAUUCUAUAACAAACAAAUUGCCUAGGGAUCCUGCUGCCCAAUUACUCGGAAACAGGCGUCCAUUCACAGUUGUCUCCUUGCUCAGCAUCCUCAAUACAGCCAUGAAUUCUUCUCUUCUAAACAAUCUCUAACUAUACCAUUACAAUUUAUUCCCUUUCAAAAGCAGAACUCUCUUCCCUCCUUCACCCUGCCCCCAAAUUGAUAAUGCCAAUUGCCCUGUCAAAUUUUUACCGUCCUUACAAGAAAUCCAGCUUGUGGCACUAAACUUUCCCAGAGUCACACACUGAUGCUCAAAGGCAGCUGUAAUUUCUCUCUUUCCUAAGAUCCUAUAUUAUGCUACUAUCCCAGCUAUCAUUAAUCUCAUCCUCCAUUAUGUCCCAAAUCAGGAAGCAGGCAACUUUCAGAUAGGGUACUCUGGUGGAGUAAGACUAAAUAGAGGCACAAAGAACCAGUCAGUUUUAAUUUUGGGACCUGCCAGAGCUAUUUUAUAUGCAAACUAAUUUGCACACCUGAAAACUGCUUAUCCGUGGUGACUGGCAUCUGUGAGAUCUAGAUGGCAAUUCUCCCCAAUUAUGCUGCACAGCAUUUUCACAUGUACAGAGAAUUUUGAUUUAGGAUCAUGGUUUUAUCAGCUGGAAUUCAUUCAAAAUGCUUUGUUUUCCAUUAGCUCCAAAUAUUCUAAAAAUGUACCUAACUUCUUGCUACUUGAAUAGAAUCUAAAAUUGUUAUAAUCUGAGUCAUACGCCUUCCCAGAGCACUUCUCAAUGCUAAAAUAAGACCUAAAUACCUAGUAAGUGUGAGUUUUAGAUUCAUAAGAAACAACUGACCUGAUUAGAAGCAACGGAUCAUUGAGGCAAGUAUCCUGCUUCUGACAGCAGCCAGCACCCGAAGCUUCAAAGGAACGCUCCGGCCCACAAUAAAACCUCAACAAUAA